rnacentral:rRNA from 1 species
GUAGGGAAUCUUCGGCAAUGGGGGGAACCCUGACCGAGCAACGCCGCGUGAGUGAAGAAGGUUUUCGGAUCGUAAAGCUCUGUUGUAAGAGAAGAACGAGUGUGAGAGUGGAAAGUUCACACUGUGACGGUAUCUUACCAGAAAGGGACGGCUAACUACGUGCCAGCAGCCGCGGUAAUACGUAGGUCCCGAGCGUUAUCCGGAUUUAUUGGGCGUAAAGCGAGCGCAGGCGGUUUGAUAAGUCUGAAGUUAAAGGCUGUGGCUCAACCAUAGUUCGCUUUGGAAACUGUCAAACUUGAGUGCAGAAGGGGAGAGUGGAAUUCCAUGUGUAGCGGUGAAAUGCGUAGAUAUAUGGAGGAACACCGGUGGCGAAAGCGGCUCUCUGGUCUGUAACUGACGCUGAGGCUCGAAAGCGUGGGGAGCGAACAGGAUUAGAAACCCCUGUAGUCC